rnacentral:rRNA from 1 species
AAAUUUUAAAAUUAUAAUACUAAAAUAGUAAAUAAUUAUUUAUUAAAACUUAAAUAAUUUGGCGGUAUUUUAGUUUAUUUAGAGGAAUCUGUUUAAUAAUUGAUAUUCCACGAAUAAAUUUACUUAAUUUAUAAUUUUGUAUAUCGUUGUUAUAAAAAUAUUUUUUAAUAAA